rnacentral:rRNA from 1 species
AUUGAACGCUGGCGGCAGGCCUAACACAGGCAAGUCGAACGAGUGGCGGAAGGGUGAGUAAUGUCUGGGAAACUGCCAGAUGGAGGGGGAUAACUAAUGGAAACGGUAGCUAAUACCGCAUACCAUCAGAUGUGCCCAGAUGGGAUUAGCUAGUAGGUUGGGUAACGGCUCACCUAGGCGACGAUCCCUAGCUGUGCUGAGCGGAUGACCAGCCCCACUGGAACUGCGACUCGGUCCAUCCUCCUCCGGGAGGCAGCAGUUGGUAAUAUUGCACAAUGGGCGCAAGCCUGAUGCUGCCAUGCCGCGUGUAUGAAGAAGGCCUUCGGGUUGUAAAGUACUUUCAGCGGGUAGGCGUUACCCGCAGAAGAAGCACCGGCUAACUCCGUGCCAGCAGCCGCGGUAAUUC